rnacentral:misc_RNA from 1 species
UAAAAAGUGUAAUUGGGGCCAGUAUAGCUUACCAGUUUGUCAUUUUCCUCUAAUCUUUUGUCAAACUCAAAGACUGAAAUGGAUAUCCCGAAAGUGGGAAAUAUCAAUACAGGUAAUUAAAUUGAAUUACAGAACAACUCGCAAGACUGUUUUGAUGUCCACUGCUAGGCAAGAAGGCUCUUUACGAUGACGGAAACGGCACAAGACCAAGAGAAUGAUGGAAUCAGACAGACCCAAACGUACGGAGUGCAGAUGUUAACAGAGGACAUCUAUGUAAACUGUUAUUGGUCUCAACUAGAGAGGGCAGUCACACAACUCCUUGCCCAAGAACCAGGAGUUUUCAUCCGAUUAUCCUAUGAACAAAUGUACAGCUGUGUCUACAAGUGUGUAUGUCAUCAAUAUUCAGAACGGAUGUAUGGGGAUCUUAGAAGAGUCCUUACUGGUUAUCUUCAGGAGAAAGCUGUAUAUCUGCAGGUAUUGCAACAGAUGUGUAAUUCAAGUGAAUUUUGUAAGCGAUUCCACACUGUGCUAAAGCAGUACACCCAAGCUCUCGGAGGAAUAGUGCCUAUAUUUACUUUUUUGAACAGAUUUUAUAUAACGCAGAAGCUUGGGAUGGAACUGAGGCCUGAACUAGAGAAACUGUUCAUACAACAUUUACAGACCCAUAUAUUUAAAGUUUUAGGCAUGCUUCAUGAGGCUCAAGCCAAGCCAUUUUCAGUUGAUCCAUCCAUUGCCUCCGAUAUCAUCCAUGGACUCUACGAAAUCAAACAAGACUAUGCAGAACUUAAUCCUGGCCUGUUUGCCAAGUACAUUCCUAGCAUCUUACCACCCUGCAAUGUUGAGAACCUGUCUGACUACAUCGCAGAGACGCACCAAAUGCAAACACAACUCCUAUCUCAAGAAGACUUCAACAGAGACAACCAAAGUCAAAAGAAGAGAAGUAACGAUGCUGAGGCAGUGGUCAGUUGACACCAGUCACAUGACAUCAGUGGACAUCACAUCUGAAAUCAGUGUACAUGUUGGUUCACCAAGUCUUUCAUGCAUGUACAGUUUAUGCCCUCAUUUUAAGAAAAAAGUGGUUUUAGUGUAAUUAUUACAGCUUGCGAAAUCAGUUUCCUUCCUGCCAGAGUUGUCAGGUUGUCAUGGAGAUUGGAUUCAUUGUAUUUGUCAUCGCAUUGUACCUUGGCAAACCUGGUACUUCAGAAAACUGUUCAAAGGCCUAAUCUCGACAGAGGCCUGUUCAAUAAUUAUAUGAAACUAGCUACUUUGUAGGACACACCGGUUUAGGAAAAAAUGGAUAUCGAUCAAGCCUUGUGGAGACCCUGGGUUUAUACAUCAAAGAUCUCAUAUAAGCGUAAAACUCUGAUUCGUACAUUGAUAUUAACUGAAUUUAAAGUAUAACAUUUAAUUUGAAACUUCUAAAAUCAGUGGAAAAAGUAAUUAAGCUGGGAAAAAUAACCAUCAAAAUGGCGGUUGAAUCAAAACUUGAAAUAAAUUCUUGAUUGCUUUUUUUACACUUGAAAGAAAAUUAUCUGUCCUUUGCAAUUCUAAUUGAGUGUUGAACUUGUUCUAUACUUUUAUUUGUGAAUAACAAUUCAUAGUAUUAGAUCAAUGGUUCUUACUACACUAUUAAUUGUAAAAAAUGCUUCCCUGCUUUUACUCAGAAAAUGAGAACUCUCCUCGGUCAAAUUUAAAGUUUCAAAAUGGGUUUUAACUUUAAGAAAAACCAGAAUUGUACAGUUGUAUUUUGUACAUAUCUUGCAUCUAUUGCACUGUCGACAGUUUUUGUUAGUGCUCAAAGCAAAUCCAGUUUUAUACUUCAGAAGUUAAUUUACAGUGUUGUUUCCAAAAAAAAUGAAAUAAAUGCAAGUGUGUAUGUCUGUCAUGUAAA